GGAUUCAUGUGUGACGUUUCUGUGGUUACGACAACCUGAACCACUGUCUUCGCUGAGUUUUUCUCUGUGGAUUCAAGCAAGUCACCUGAAAAGCAGAUAUAAAAGGUCAAAGGUGGAGCUUCUGUGCCGUGCAGUACCACCUCCCUGCCAGCGGAGGCAGCAGAACACCUGACCGGAGCGGCCAAUCGGAGCUCAGCGCUCCACUCUCAACUAAAGCAACAUGGCUGAGGUUUCGUCUUCUGCGUUGUGGUUCUGGAGGAUCUGAACAUCGACUUUUCUCCAGGACGUACCGGCCUGUUGCUGCGACGAUCGUUCUUCCUGAUGGUCAUCCUCACCGUGACCUUCUGACAAGACUUCCCGUCUUCUUUGCCUGUUCACCCGACAACGGACCACAUCAGUUAACGUGAGAUAUACAAAAGAAAAAGGAGCAGGAGAAACCCCGUCUGGAGCUGCACCAGGAGACGCAGCAGAUACCAGGAAGAGGAGGAAGGAAUGACCAAGGAGUGAAGAUCAUGCAUGAGAUGUUUCAGUUAGACGAAGGACAAAUAUUUCACUUCACAUGAAGCUAGAAAGCAACGGAAGGCUUCACAAACGAGGUAAAAAAACAAAAUGUAAAGAGCUGAGGAGACGAAUGUACCAAAUGGGUUCAAAAUAAUCUUAUCAAAUAUCAACACAAGUGUGUUUAUAAUAUAAAAGG
ensembl:lncRNA